rnacentral:rRNA from 1 species
UACGAAGGGGGCUAGCGUUGCUCGGAAUUACUGGGCGUAAAGGGCUCGUAGGCGGAUUGUUUCGUCAGAGGUGAAAGCCCAGGGCUCAACCUUGGAAUUGCCUUUGAUACUGGCUGUCUUGAGUUCGGGAGAGGUGAGUGGAAUGCCGAGUGUAGAGGUGAAAUUCGUAGAUAUUCGGCGGAACACCAGUGGCGAAGGCGACUCACUGGCCCGAUACUGACGCUGAGGCGCGAAAGCGUGGGGAGCAAACAGG